AAGCGCUUGCAACCAGACUUGCACGUAGUUGAUCAUCCGGGGUUCUCCCCGGUGCACUCGGCUACGUUCAGGCUAGCAUCGGUUUUGGUGGUUGGAUAAAGGCCUAGGGAAUGUGGCUCUCUUCGGGGAGUGUUAUAGCCCUAGGUGCAAUACAGCCCACUGAGACCGAGGACCGCGCUUCGGCUAGGAUGCUGGCGUAAUGGUUGUAAGCGA
rnacentral:rRNA from 1 species